GGUGCUGUGGUGCAGUGGGUUAACACCCUGGCCUGAAAUGCCAGUAUCCCAAAUGGGUGCCAGUUCGAGACCUGGCUACUCCA
rnacentral:tRNA from 1 species